AUUGAACGCUGGCGGCAUGCCUUACACAUGCAAGUCGAACGGCAGCACGGGAGCAAUCCUGGUGGCGAGUGGCGAACGGGUGAGUAAUAUAUCGGAACGUGCCCGGUCGUGGGGGAUAACGUAGCGAAAGCUACGCUAAUACCGCAUACGAUCUACGGAUGAAAGCGGGGGAUCGCAAGACCUCGCGCGAUUGGAGCGGCCGAUAUCAGAUUAGGUAGUUGGUGAGGUAAAGGCUCACCAAGCCGACGAUCUGUAGCUGGUCUGAGAGGACGACCAGCCACACUGGGACUGAGACACGGCCCAGACUCCUACGGGAGGCAGCAGUGGGGAAUUUGGACAAUGGGCGCAAGCCUGAUCCAGCAAUGCCGCGUGCAGGAUGAAGGCCUUC
rnacentral:rRNA from 1 species